rnacentral:rRNA from 1 species
CCUACGGGAGGCUGCAGUAGGGAAUCUUCCACAAUGGGCGAAAGCCUGAUGGAGCAACGCCGCGUGGGUGAAGAAGGUCUUCGGAUCGUAAAACCCUGUUGUUAGAGAAGAAAGUGCGUGAGAGUAACUGUUCACGUUUCGACGGUAUCUAACCAGAAAGCCACGGCUAACUACGUGCCAGCAGCCGCGGUAAUACGUAGGUGGCAAGCGUUAUCCGGAUUUAUUGGGCGUAAAGGGAACGCAGGCGGUCUUUUAAGUCUGAUGUGAAAGCCUUCGGCUUAACCGGAGUAGUGCAUUGGAAACUGGGAGGCUUGAGUGCAGAAGAGGAGAGUGGAACUCCAUGUGUAGCGGUGAAAUGCGUAGAUAUAUGGAAGAACACCAGUGGCGAAAGCGGCUCUCUGGUCUGUAACUGACGCUGAGGUUCGAAAGUGUGGGUAGCAAACAGGAUUAGAUACCCCUGUAGUC